AGAUGCAUAAGCAAAAUGCAACCUGCUUUGUUCUUGAAGUAAACAAUUCCGUGUUUGGAUGUAAUGUGAGUAAACCAAACAAAGGUGGGGUAACUGAAGGUAGAUGCACAUAGCCAUAAAGGAGGCUGGUGACAAAUCCAGGAACAGAAGUCAGAUCUCCUCUAAGUUGCAGCCUAAUGCCAUCUAAUACUGUAACCAGAUGAAUUCCCAAGGCGUGGCUGUGAUGGUUGUUGGAAACAAGAAAGGGAAACCUUCUUGGUGCCAUUCAUUUCACUGAGCGCUGCAAAUCUGAGCCUGAAUGGAGGUGGAGGAAGACUCCUGCAGAGAACUGUGAACAGCUUUUCCCGUAAGAGGGCUGUAAUGGCAUUUAUAGUGGCUUUACCAAAUGCCAGGGAAUGUGAUACAGGUUUAUGGAUUGGGAAUCAAUUGAAAGAUUGUUAAAUGGGAAAGAAUGCGACUAAUGAGAAGCCUUGGAGAGCUACAACCUAAGCACCCCUAACAUUUGCAACCAAGCCCACAUUGUAUCUCAUGAGUUAUUGGAGCCAUAUCAGGUGACUGUUAUUUUUGAUAUAAUUUACCAGUCCCAGUAAGCUCCCUCAGCUGGACUGGGAAAAUACAUUCCUUUAUUAAUGUUAGUCCAGGGGACUGAAGUGAGUUUUGAGUAGGGAAACAUUUAAUUUAUGGGAUCAGCUAUCGAGUUCAGAGUGAAAAAAAAGGACAAUGUGAUGGAUUAGGAACUUUCUCCCCCACUCUUGGAAUUCACCAGACUAGCUCAGGUUGCUUGGAAGUAAGAUGAAGCUGUAUUUACAAGCAUAUAUGCACAAUACAUUUAAAACUAUUUACAGUUAUAUACAAAGUAGAACUAAUGCAGAAAUCCAAACUCUCUCUCAGACAAUGGAAACUGCCCAGAAGGGGCUCAAAGCUACCCCCUCUUUCUUCCUCUGCUUUUCCCAGACAGACAAACAAAAACAACCAUCGAAGCUUAAGUUGUUAUUGGCUAGCUAAGAUUAUUGGAAAGAUACUAGAGUGGAGUGAGGAGGAAGGGAAUAGGAACAGUGUUGCAGAACUGUUGACAUUUUGGCUUUGUAUCCCUCUCAGCAAACCAAAGAACGAUACAGACCUCAUCAUUAUUUUCUUUUUACUACCAAUGAUCUAAUUUCUCUCAUUAAAAUAUUCCAGUUAUCUCCAAACCAGCACAAAUGAUGUGGAUUUGUAGCUGGUAGGUGGUACCUGUUUUAAACAAUGCAGCUCGAAAGAGAAUGUGCUUUUACCUGGAAUCUGUUAUUUGCAACAUAAAGGCUUAAAGUGUCAUCUGUAUUCAAUAACACAGGAUGUUAUUUAUUAUAAAUAACUAAUAUGAU